rnacentral:rRNA from 1 species
UGCUCAGUGUUUAUAAAUAGCCGCAGUAAUUUGACUGUGCAAAGGUAGCAUAAUCAUUUGCCUUAUAAUUGAGGGCUAGUAUGAAUGGAUUAACGAGAGUUUUUCUGUCUCUAAUUCAUAAUAAUAACUUGUAUUUAAUGUGAAGAUACAUUAAUUUUUUAGUGGGACAAGAAGACCCUUUUGAGCUUUAUUUAGAUUGUUUUUUUUUAGAAAAUUUUAAUUUGGUUGGGGCGACCUGUGAAGAUUAAAACUUUUAGAUCUUCUUUUGCUAAUAAAGAACCAUUAAUUUUGGGUUUUAGAUUAAGUUACCAAAGGGAUAACAGCGUAAUUUUUUUUUAGAGUUCUUAUUAAAAAAAAAGAUUGCGACCUCGAUGUUGACUUAUGAUUUCCUUUUGGUGCAGUAGCUU